rnacentral:hammerhead_ribozyme from 1 species
AGCUAGUUGACGAGUCCCAAAUAGGAUGAAAUGUGAAUCCUGGCU